GUUAUUGUGAGGAUUAAUUGAAUGAAUCAAUUAAUAACUAUAAAGUACUUGGAACAGUUUGUGGCACAUAGUAAGUGCUCAAAAAUAUAAGCUAACUGUUAUUUUUACUGAGAAAUUUCAAGGAGUUAAUGUGGGCAGAUAGCUACUAAGAGAAAAAGCUUAAACUAGAUAACCAGCCUAACACCUAAAGGAAAUGUUAUCUAUUCCAUUGGGCAGGCACCACCAUGAGAUGUGACUAGGUAAUAGAAAAUGCCAAUGUUGAUGGAACUUCCCUAAGGGCAAAGGAAGAAGAGAUGAUGACUUUACAACAAGACGUUGCCAACAGAGAAGCAGUGGUUCAGUUGUCUCCUUAAUUGAAAACUCUGCUAGGAUCACGUGGUCUAUAGGACAGUACUGCCAAAGUGUAUCCCAUGGGACUCAAAUUCUUGUCAGGUAGGCUUGGAAAAUCUUGAAUUAAACAAAGUUAAAUAAGUUUCUUUAUGAUGUUUCAGAACUUUUAAUAUGUUCUAUGCUUUAUGAAUCUCUAAGAAGGAAAUCUUAUAAAUUGUGUUUCUAAAAUGAAUUUGCACACAGAGCC
rnacentral:lncRNA from 1 species